ACGGGAGGCAGCAGUGGGGAAUAUUGGGCAAUGGGCGCAAGCCUGACCCAGCAACGCCGCGUGAGGGAAGAAGGCUUUCGGGUUGUAAACCUCUGUCCUUGGUGACGAAGGAAGUGACGGUAGCCAAGGAGGAAGCCCCGGCUAACUACGUGCCAGCAGCCGCGGUAAUACGUAGGGGGCGAGCGUUGUCCGGAAUUACUGGGCGUAAAGGGUGUGUAGGUGGUCUGUUAAGUUGGAUGUGAAACCCCCGGGCUUAACCUGGGGACUGCAUCCGAUACUGGCGGACUAGAGUGCAGGAGAGGAAAGCGGAAUUCCUAGUGUAGCGGUGAAAUGCGUAGAUAUUAGGAGGAACAUCGGUGGCGAAGGCGGCUUUCUGGACUGUAACUGACACUGAGGCACGAAAGCGUGGGGAGCAAACAGGAUUAGAUACCCUGGUA
rnacentral:rRNA from 1 species